AACAAAGCAAACGAAACAGAAAGUAGGGGAAGGAAAGAAAGAAAAAGAGAAAAGAAAGAAAAAAAGGGAAAAUCAAAGGUGUGAAGCUUGGAAGUUUAAUAGGUAAGUCAAUUGAGCUAUUUUACUUAAUUUUGAUAUUUUAGAAGCUUUGGACAAGAUUUUGAUGAAAUUAAGUUGAUAUUUUGAAAAGAUAUUAGAUUUUUAGAUACUGUUCAUGUUGAGUAAAAUGAUGAAAUAAGGGUUAACUUGAUAGAAAUUCAAGUUAGAAAUGAAAUAAGGAUUGAAUUGUAAAGUAAUUCAUAAGUUUUAUGUUGAAGGGCUAAUUUGAGGAAAUUUUGAAACUAGUUAAAUAAGCUGAAAAUUUAGGAGUUAAAUUUGAGUUGGGAUGGAACUUGAAUAGAAAUAGAGUAUGAAUUAAGUUAGUAAAAUUAGUGGAAAUUGAUUUUAGGACAUAAUUGUGAAAAUGUUGGAAUUAAAGUCUAGUGCUGAAAUUAUGAUUUCCAAAAGUUGUAAAGUAGUUUAAAGUGAUAGAAUAAAGUGUUAAUUGAGAAAAAUCAGCUCAAUUGAGAGGCUAAUUGAGUAGGGACGAAAUUGUUAUUUAUUAAAGCUUAAGGGAAAAAUGGUAAUAAACAACUUGCAGUAAAACAAUAUUGGAAAGCAGCAGUAGACUAACUUUGAAAAAUCACCAUAAAUUGUAGAAAUCAAAUUAGAAGAUGAAAAAAAUAUGAAAUUAAAGCUUAUUGAGUCUAGUUUCUCAUAGAAGAAACGGUGUAAGCAAUAGAUUUUUAAAUCAUGAGAUAUAAUAAAUUUUGUGAGACAACAUCAGAAUGAUUUUGGGUUUCCCUGUUCUGACUUUGAAAAAUCAUAAAAAAUUGGAUAAUCAUAAUUAUGGGCUUAAAUUUAUAUGUUUAGAAUCUUGAAUGAGUCUAGUUACAAUAUAAAUAAACUGGAACAUCAUUAGAAUUUUGUACGAGGAGAUAAUUAAUUUUUUGUGAAGAAGGGUCACAACUGUCAGACAGCAAAAUAGGGGUAACUUUAAAGAAUAAACUAUACUUAUUGAAUAAAUAAAAACUUCUGAAAAUUUUAUGGUAAGAAGAUAUAUGAGUAUAGUUUCAGGGAAAAUUAGUGGAUAUUAAUUUGGAGUUCUAGAGCUCCAGAUAUAAAUAAUUUAGUGACUAUGACACAGAUGGACAGCUAGAAUAUUCAUAAAAGUAAAUAAUAAAAAUUAUAGAUGAUGUUACUUACAAGUGUGUUAUAUACAUUAAGGAUGUGGAAUGGAGAGGAGGAGGAGGAAAAAUAUAUAUGAAUAUCCAGCUAGCAUGGCUAAUUUGCAUGUUUUAGGCUUAAGGACUAAAUUGAAUAAAAGUAAAACUUCAGGGGCAAUUUUGUAAAAAUGUCAAAAUGAUCAAAUUGAAGGGAAUGAAUUGUUUUAUUAUCUAAAUUAAUAAAUUGAAUGAAAUUUUCAAUUUAAUAUCGGGUGAAAAUUGGGAAAAUGGUAAAUUACCAAAAUGUCCCUAAAUCUUGAUAUUUCUACAAUUUCACUAGGUAAGUUUAUGUAACUUGAAUUAUAUUCUUUAAUGCUUGAAAUAUAUGUUAUUGAUGUGAAUAUGAUUUGAAUGUUCAUUGUAUGAAAAUUGAUGAAACAUUGAUAUAUUUGAUAAAAUGGGAAGAAAUCCCGGUUGAAUGAAAGGAAAUUUCGAUGGAUCUCUGAAAAGGAAUUGGCGGUAAAAAGGAUCUAGCCCGGACGAGUGAUCCUAUCCUGAUAUAGCCCUCCCGAAGAAUAUGUGGAAAAUGGAUUUAGCCCGGACGGGUAAUUCGAAUUAGGGUCUAAAUUUAGCCUGGACUGGUAAUUCAGAUCCAAGCUCAUUAAAGUAAUUGUCGUUGCAGGGGAUUUAGCCUAGACUGGUAAUCCCGACAAUACUCAAUGAGUUUAUAUUACAGGGGAUUUAGCCUGGACUGGUAAUCCCACUGUAAGGAUGAGGUUCGCGGGAGUGUGCUCUCUGAUAUGAAAUGUGUAAGACCAUGGUUGAAAGAUACCAUGGCAACCUGAUAUGAAAUGUGUAAGACCAUGGUUGAAAGAUACCAUGGCAACAUGAUAGAAAAUGAGUAAGACCAUAGUUGAAAGACACUAUGGCAUCAUGUCAAAGAUAAAUAAGACUGUGGAAGAGAGACGCCAAGAUAUCUGUUGAACAACUAAUAUUCAGGUAAUAUAUACCAGAUGACAAAUAGUUAUAUGAAUUGGUUGUACAAAAUGGUUGUGUGAAAUGUUUACAGGAAUUGGUCAUAUGGAAAUAUAUGUACAAAAUAGUUGUAUGAAAUAAUUAAGAAGAUAGAUAAAGGAAAUAAGUAUAGAUACAUGGAAUUUAAUUUAUGUUAAGUUUAAUACGAACUAUUACCAAAGUAAAUAUACAUAAGAUAUAAGGAAAUGAUGAUGCAUGAAAUAUUGAUAUAACGAAAUGAAUGAUAUAUGCUUAUGAAGAAAUAGUAAGAGAACAAUAUAUUUUGUGACAUGUACAUAUAUAAUUAUCUUUGAUAUGUUGAUAUAAGGAAAUUAUGUAAGUUGAGACUAUUAUUGAACUGAAGUGUGAUAUGUUGAGAAAAUAGGUAUAUCAUUGUUGAAUUUAUAUGAAGUAUGUGCAAGUAUACUAACAAUGUUGUUGUAUGAUGCUUAGACAAGUGCCAAGCUAUUGAUUGAAUGGUAACAUGUUUAAUUAUAAGUAGCAUUGAAAUGGUAAGUACUUAGAUGAAAAUAUAAUUUAAGAUUUUGCGAAAUUUUUUUAUGAUCCCGAUUUAAUUUCGGUUGGUUUUUAAUGUAUGUUUGGGGCUUCGAGGGCCCAAUAGAGAAACGUUAUGGUUAUUUUCAAAAUAUGAAUAAUAAAUGACUCAAAAUUAUCUGAAAAUGUUUAGUAAACUCUGGUAAUGCCUCGUACCUUAUUCUGACAAUAGAUACGGGUUGGGGGUGUUACAAGGUUCUUUUAGUAUAUGACUAGAAGAAAUCUAUCAGGACCUUUAGUAUUCGACAGUGAGAUUAAAAGCACAGCUCUUAGAAACUGUAGAGAAGUAAGGCAGAGUCGACAAAGUGCAAUGGAAGAGCAAGAGGACGUUAUUGUUAUUACUGAGGAGAUGGCUGAAAAUCAGAAUAUUAGCUACCUCAUGUGGUUGCUGCAAAUCCUGUAAAUUUGAAUCCUGCUCCUCGUACUACGUAUGAUUAUGUCAAGCCCACUCUAACUGGGGCUUAAUCGAGUAUCGUGACGCUUACUAUUGCUACGAAUAACUUCUAACUGAAGCCGAAGAUUAUUCAGAUGAUUCAACAGUUUGUUCAGUUCGAUGGUUUGCAAGAUGAAGAUCUAAAUACUCAUUCGGCCAAUAUUUUGGAAUUCUGUGACACUUUUAAGAUGAAUGGCAUUUCUGACAAUGCCAUUUGCUUUCAGUUGUUUCCAUUCUCAUUGAGAAAUAAGGCUAAACAAUGGUUGAACUCCCUACCACGAGGUUCUAUCACUAGAUGGAAUCAAAUGACCAAAAAGUUCUUAUUGAAGUAUUUUCUAUUGACUAAGAUAGCCAAGCUAAGGAAUGACAUAUCUUACUUCGUGCAAAUGGAUUUAGAGACCCUAUAUGAUGCAUGGGAGAGGUAUAAGGAUUUAUUGAGAAGGUGCCCUCACCAUGGAUUACCUCUAUGGCUACAGGUUCAAACCUUCUAGAGUGGUUUGAAUCCCUCAACUAGGCAAUUAAUCGAUGCAGUAGCCGGUGGUACUCUGAACAAUAAAAUACCUGAAGCGGCGUAUGAGUUUAUAGAGGAAAUGUCACUGAAUAAUUAUCAGUGAUAAGUCAUGAGGACGAAACCGAUGAAAGCAGCCGGUGUUUUUAAUGUAGAUGCGGUCACUAUGUUAUCAAAUUAGGUAGAACUUUUAAGUAAGAAAAUUGAUGUUUUAUAUGGUUUUACGCAGGUACAUCUGGUGAUGCAGUGCGAUACGAAUAAAGGAGGGAUGAACAAUCCAGUAUGUCUAUCCUACCGCCUUAGCAUAGAGAACGAACAAGUCAAUUGUAUGAGUAAUAAUUCUAGACCUUAGAAUAAUCCUUAUAGUAACACUUAUAAUACAGGUUGGAGGAAUCAUCCCAAUUUCUCUUGGGGUGGUCAAGGAAAUCAAAGACCACAACUCCUUCUAGGCUUUCAACAACCUUACCAGCAAGAGAAGAAGUCGAACCUGAAGGAGAUGCUGACGAAGUUUAUUUCAGUAUUAGAAACUCGCUUCCAAAACACUGAAACAACACCUAAAAAUCAACAAGCGUCGAUUCAAGGACUCGAGAACCAAAUAGGACAGCUUGCUAAGUUGAUUUCAGAAAGACCACAAGGUAGCUUGCCUAGCAACACCGAAACUAACCCAAGAGAGCAGCUUCAUGCAAUUAGGGUUCGAGAUGAAUAAGGGUUAGUUGAACCUUGUAAUAGCCCGAUUUAGACCCCAUACGGAACGGUGGUUUCGGGACCAUGAGUGCAAUUUUUUUUUCUGUGUUUAUUAUGUGUGAAUUAAUCUUCGUGAAAUUUUCAUGUUUUAAUUUUAUCGCUUGAGUGCUCGAUUUAAUAAAAGGGCUUAAUCACGUAAAAUAAAAAUUGGAUGGUUUAAUUUGUAAGGGCCGAAUUGUUGUUGUUUUGAUUGCAUGAGGUAUUUAUGUUACAAUUAGACCAUAUUUAUAAAUCAUGGACGGUUAAGGACAUGAAUAUAAUGUUUGUAUAAUUAUAUUCUAAACGUUAAUUUACUAAAAUAUGUAAUAAUAUGUAUAAAAUAAACAUAAAAAUUUAAAAGCCAUAUGUUCAUCUUUUUUCUUUAACCGAAACAUCAAAUAAAAGAAAAGAAAUAAGGUUUUCAAAGGUUUGACCAUUGUUAAGCUUAAUCAAGGUAUGUAACUAGCUCGAUUUUUGCUAAUUUCACGUUUUGAGAUCGUUGCAGUAUAAUGUACAAAGUCCAUGCAUGAAUUUCUGAUUUUGAUGAAUAUUUUAAGUUAUGCCAUUGAUGAAUAUUUGAGUUUUGUGAUGUUAGUUGAUGAAUUUUGAAAGAUAUGUUUUGGAUUAAUAUGUUUUGUAUUGGAAUUUUUGAUAAAUUUGAGUAAUUAGGGCUAAAUUAUAAAAAUAAUAAAUUGAGAGACUAAAAUGUGAAAUAAAUGAAAUAUAUGGACUUGUAUGAGCAUAAGUAAGAUUCGGCCUAAGCAUGGUGUGUGCAAAUUUUGCAUGUUUUGUGUUUUGUGCAAUUUGGACUAAAUUGUAAAAACUGUAAAAUGUUAGGGUAAAAUGGUAAUUUGCCCAUUUUUGUGUUUUUGGUCUAAAUUGGAUGAAAUUAUGUUUGAAUGAGUUUAAUUUGAAUAUGUUUAGAUCAAGAACCAAAGAAAUCAGAUUUGGAUCGGGAAAAACCAAAGUUGUUGAUUAGUCGUCCCGUUCCGAUUAUCGUUGUCCGAGGUAAAUUUAGAAGCAAAUAGAUGUUAUUUAAUUGAUUAAAUAUGAACUAUAUAUGCUGAAAUGUAUAAUGUGAUAGUAUAUAUGUGAAAGCCGAAUAUGUAUAAGCUUAGAAUCUAUGUGUACGGGUUCGACUCGAUCUAGUUACGACGUCCGAAAGCCUCGUACGAACCUUAGGAAUAGCUAGGAUACAUAUGUCAUUACAUCGGAUCUCCGAUAUGUGUUCUCCUAUAAGACCACGUCUGGGACGUUGGCAUCGAUAUAUGUGAUUAUGUGUAAGACCAUGUCUGGGACAUCAGCAUCGUAUUUGAUUCGUGUAAGACCUUGUCUGGGACAGUGGCAUCGAUAUGUGAUUACAUGUAAGACCACGUCUGGGACGUUGGCAUUGUACGAUAUGUGUGAUUAUCCGAGCAUCCUAUUCAAUUUCGAAUGGUUCAACGGGCAUUGAUAAGUUGUGAUCGAAUGUGUAAAUCGAGCUAAGUGACUAGGUAUGAAAUAGUUGAUUGCUUAUUUGAAAAUAAGGUAAGUUGGUUAUUUGAAAUGUGAUGCAAAAUUAUACCUGAUGUUAAUGUAAAUACAUAUGUGUAUUGGUGAAGUAUAUUCGGCCACAUGAUAAAUAAAUAAGUAGGAGAUACUAAAGUUUGAUUUAAGAAUAUAUGCUUAUGAGUGUGUAUAUUUGGUUAUAUAAUGGUACUAUGGUUUUGAAAUUGAUUGUUACUUUGAUAAUAGAUACAUGUACAUUCGAACAAGGUAAAACUUAUAUAUGAAAGUAUAUGUUAUAUAUGAAAUUGUGAGCUUGAAAUUAAAUGUGAUUAUGAAAGCAUAAAUUUAUUUGGUUAAAUUGAGUUGAUAUUGUCAUUGAAUUAUUGGUUUGCUUAUGACUUACUAAGCUACGAUAGCUUAAUGUGCGUGUUUAUGUUUGUCUCUGUUUUAUAGAUUUUGGAGGCUAGGUACGAGUUCGAGGAUCGUCAACAAAGUCUAUCACACUGUCGAUUGUUUUUUGUAUUUUAUAAGUUUGAACUUGAACCUAUGGCAUGUAUAGGCUAGAUUAUAUUUGGUUAAGUUUGAAGUUGUGUAUAUAUUAAGCCAUACAAAAAUGGCUAAUAUGUUAUGUGAG
rnacentral:lncRNA from 1 species